rnacentral:lncRNA from 1 species
UUAACAGUAUCCAAAGCUAUACUUUGAUGAUCUCCAUAUAGAACCUCAAUACUUAAUUUGCUGACUUUAUGAUUAGCCACAGAGUCUUUUGUCUUACUUGUGUUUUCCCAAUAAUAAUUCAUCCUUAAAGAGGGGAAUUGAUUUUUAUGAUUAUAUGUAGUAAACACAAGAUAUACCAUGUACAUGUAAUUACAAAGCAGUUGUAGUGGCAAAUCUAAGAUCCUAUGACAUCCAUUAUCGAGAUCUCAUAAUUUCCCUCAGUGAGCAUUUGAAAAAAUUAGAAUGCAAUCUCAAGAAGUGUAGGUUAACAAUCAUACAAGUGGAGUUCCCAUUGUGGCUCAGUGCUUAAUGAAUCCGACAAGCAUCGAUGAGGACGCCAGGGAUCGAACCCACAUCCUUAUGGAUACUACUUGGGUUUGUUACCGCUGAACCACAAUGGAAACUCCAAAAUUGUCAUUUUAGAUUGGUAAGUGUAGGACCUUUCACCGAAGAGGUGUCCUUGGUCCUACCUGAAGUAGUUUUUUUUUUUUUUUUUUAACUUGAGUUAAAAAGUCAGUAGUUCCCGUCGUGGUUAACAAAUCUGACUAGGAACCAUGAGGUUGUGGGUUCGAUCUCUGCCUUUGCUCAGUGGGUUUACGAUCAGGCAUUGCUGUGAGCUGUGGUGUAGUUUGCAGAUGCUGCUCCGAUCUAGUGUUGCUGUGGCUCUGGUGUAGGCCGGUGGCUAUAGCUCCAAUUCGACCCCUAGCCUGGGAACCUCCAUAUGCCGCAGGAGCGGCUCAAGAAAUGGCAAAAAGACAAAAAAAAAAAGUCAAAGACCUGGGUAAUAUAUUUUCAGCAAAUAUGUUGCUUGAGGCAAUAUUAUAGCUGUUCAAUAGUAAAAUUGAGACUCUAAAAACAAAUCAAAAUUUAAUAGGCUAUAAUAUUAGGCCCAAAUCAACUGUAAUAAUGAUAAUGAUUGCCAGUAUUUUAUACAUGCUUCCUGUAUCCCAGGCACUGUGCCAGGCACUUUGUAUAAAUUUUCUUAUUUAAUUUUCACAAGAACUCUAUGAGGUAGGUAUUGUUAUUAUACCCAUUUUACAAAGAAAACUAAAACUAGAGAUGUUACAUUGAUUUUAUUAAAUUUCAAAUCUAAGGUCAUGCAUUUACAUUUAAAAAUAGAUUGUGUUCAAUUUCUGACCAUGUGGUAGAUCAAAUGUGCAGAGAAACUUCAUCUGGUGUAGAAUACUUAAAAUGCUGGCUAGAAAUAACUUCAUUUCCAAAGCAUGACUGAAUGGGAAAUUAUUUAAGGAAAUCAUAGCUAGAAAAGACAGGAACAGUGAUUCCAUAGACAUAAGAGCUGGAAUUUGUUGGGAUUGUCAGUUAUCUGCCAGUCUUUGCGACCUAGAGUUUAAGUUUUAAAGAGCCAUGUGCAACAUAAAGAGAAAGUUAGAGAUCUUCACAUAAAGCCAGAACCCUUAAAAGGAGUUAACUUACCCUUGGCCUUAGAUAGGAGGGGACUGAGAAUUCCUAACCAUAGAUUCUAAAUGGAAUUCACAUUGCCUGCUUGUCUCACAAAAGUUCAAGCUGAAAAUUUAGUUUGAAAUGAGUUACUACUGCUCCUAGACAUCUGUAAAAAUGUGUUCCUUUUCUAGAAGAAAGCACGUCACACAUAGAUGCUGCAGAAUUCACACAGAUGGGUUUGGGGUAGGGGAGAGACAUGGGCUUACAAUGUAAAAUGAAAAAAAAAAAAGAUAUCUGAGUAAAAAAGCCACUA